rnacentral:lncRNA from 1 species
UGUUGGUUUCUGCUUUCCUUCACUGUGCAGCUCUACUUGUCACGAGACAGGUGUUUACAUUCCACAGUCUGUACUGUUGGAGUUUCUCACGGGAAAGGGAGACUGGAUGUGACGUACACUGGUUUCCUGUUUUUCACUGUGUGAUUCUCUCCGAGCUGUCGAGGAGAGAGGAUGCAUUUCUCUGCUCCGGCAGAGGCAAGAUGUCUUUCUGUAAUAUACCAGCUUUGAACUGUAAAUAAAGCAAUAUAGAGUAUGUAGCACGUACUCCUCAUCCUUCCGCUGGGCACGACAGACUCUGCUUUAAAUCAACACGUGGUUAUGGGCUCCAGAGGUCGAAUCGGAGUGCCGGCAAAGGAUCGGAAUGCAGAGGGACGGAUCGGAAAGGAAUCUGCUCUGCGCGUAGAAGUGAUUGAUGAGGUAUGUGCUACUGCUCCGGGCAGCCUGCCAGCUUCAAGUUAAUGGCUUUAUGGCUGGACUUUGAACUUUUAAAGCCGGUUUUGCCGGGAAUAGGCAAAAGGCUCCCAGGCACAAGUCACUAUGCUGGGGAAAUCGAAAGUAACUUUUAAGUGUGCCUUUGUAAUAAGGCAGCUGCAGCAGUGACGCAGCAAGAAUUAAAGCAGCAUAUGACGCUGAAGGCUAAUGCCAGAGUCAUGAUGGCCCUUCAGGAUGCUUGUGGGAUUCCUAAGCUCAACAAGAAAAAUUACAGCGACUGGGUUCAGUAUGCAGAGGCAAUUCUGCGGAAAGAGGGUUUGUUUGAGGUGAUUACAGGAACCCCCAGUUCCAGUUACAGAUGCAUGGGAAGCUAAGGAUUCCAAAGCAAGGGGAACUCUUACAUUGAUAGUAUCCCCAGAAGAGCUCUGUCUAUUGCGUGAUAAGACCUCAGCCAGAGAAAUUUGGGACGCUCUGAGAGAGGCUCACUUAAGGACAGAAGCUGGAUCCACUAUGUUUUACUUUAACAAGCUGCACAAUAUGGCUCUUGCUGAAGGUGGAGAUGUGCGUUUACAUCUAAUGGAGAUGCAAAAUCUGAGACAUGAGCUGCAACAGAGAGGACUCAACUUUCCAGAGGCUGUGUAUUCUUUCAUGAUACUACAAUCUUUGGGUUCAGGUUGGGAGUCUGUUGCAACCCAGAUUGCUGUGCAACCAACUGCUCAGCUGACAGUGGACUUUGUUACUGCCGUGAUUUUAAAUGAAGCAGAUCGCCGGGGUGCUAGCUGCAUGGGCAAGGGGGAGUCUUCACAGACGUCAUCCCAUAGUGCAGUGGAACCACCAGAUGGCGCCAAAGCUUUGAAGGCAGUGAAAUGCUACUCGUGUGGACGUCUAGGCCAUAUGAAGAGGGAAUGCAGACAUCCCAGGGCCAAGACAGAGCAGCGCAGCGAAAGCUCAUCGCGCGGAAAAGGCCGAGGCAAAGGCAAAGGUCCGGUGUCUAGGACAACGCAGCACAAGGCUAUGGUUUCACGCUUCACUCCAAAGGUUGCAGAGGUCCAGAAGACGUCUAGAUCUUUCUUCGUUGUUGAUUCAGCGGCCACCCACCACAUGUGCAACGAUAAGAAACUGUUUGUGUCUUUUACACCGCAGGAAGGUGCGAUUCACCAGGCGGAUGACCACACUAUUCCCAGUAAAGGCUACGGAACUGUUGUUCUUCACAGUUUGGACUUAUCGAUACAGAAUGUGCUUUACGUGCCAGACGCCAAACAUAAUCUGCUCAGCGUUGGACAGCUGAAUGAGCGGAACAUUGACGUUUCCUUCAAGAACAAGAAGUGCAUCAUCACAAAGAAAAAUGAUUAUGUAUUGCAUGCAGAAUAUGUUGAUCAUUUGUUUGUUUUGUAUUAUGAUGAUGUGGUGCAGGAUGACACUUGUUGCAUUGCAGGUUCUAACAAAAGUUUGCAUGCAGAAUGUAUUCACGAUUUUCAUCGAAAAUUUGGUCAUUUGCAUUUUGAGGCAGUAUCUAAAAUGCCUGCCUUGGUUGAAGGUAUGACUAUUAAACCCUGCAGGUACCACAUGAAGUGCAAAGCAUGCGCAGCAAACAAGGUGAAAAUGGCUGCGAAAGGUAAGGUGUCUAGUAGGAAAGCUACAGAACCAUACCAGGUUGUUCAUGCUGAUUUGGUUGGACCACUAGCGCCCUCUUUGGGUGGAAAUAGAUACUUCAUGGUUCUCAUUGAUGCAUUUUCUAGAUAUAUUUUUGUGUACAAUCUCAAGCAGAAAUCGGAGGCUUUUCCUAGGUUCAAGGAAUUCUGUGCUUGGUUGGAAAAUGUGCAUGGUAAGAAGAUAAAGACUCUUUUCAGUGAUCGCGGGGGAAUUCACUUCUCAGCAGUUUGAAGCUUUUCUGACUGAGAAAGGAAUUCAACACGAUUUGUCUAGUCCUCGCUCGCCAUGGCAGAAUGGACUUGCGGAACGGGCAAAUCAGACAUUGCUUCAAGGGUUAAAAACCUUGCUGCAUGAUGCCAAUCUUCCAGAGAGUUAUUGGGCCGAAUCUCUCUCGUGUUUUGUUUACAGUUACAAUCGCAGGUUAUCUUCAGCGAUUGGUUGUACUCCUAUGAGAAGAUGUUUGGCAAGAAGCCAUACAUCAAACACAUGAAGAUUUUUGGUUCUGACAUGUGGGUUCGCUCACCACAAAACUCCAAGUUAGACAAGCGUGGAUUGCAUGGUAUCUUUCUAGGUUAUCAGAAAGGGUCUUACAGAAUAAUGAUGACUGACUCUAAGACAAUUAAGCUCACGAGAAGUGUUGAGUACAAUGCAAAGUGGGGGGAGCAUGUGGGAAUUUUCCAAUGUUAUCCUGAUGACGGUGAUGAGACUGAGGAUAGUCAAAGCAACCACAACAACCCACACCCACUGAUGAAGGUUCUGAGUCUGAAUCUGAAACUGAAUCGGGUGAUUCAGAGGAUUUCAAGAGUGCGAAAGCCUCUAUGCGACCCUCUGAAAGCUCUGAUCAAGAAUUGGAGGAACCAUUGUUCACAAUAGGUCGUUUUUCUCCUAAGAAGGAAGAGGAGAGUGUUGAAGACUUAAGGCUAAUUCGUAGGUCACAGAGAGCUACAAAAGGCAAACCUCCAAAGAGAUUUGCUGAUGAGUUUGCUAAGAUAGCAGUAACAGCUGUUAAAAGCUCCAAGAAGGUAUUUGAACCUUCAAGUUUCCAAGAAAUCCAGGGUUUGGAUUCAAAGGAAGCUGAGCCAUGGUUAAAUGCCAUGAAGGCUGAGCUUGAUUCCUUAGAAAGGAACAAAACAUGGGAGCUAGUUCCAGUAGUUCCAGGAAUGAAACUGCUUGGAAGCAAAUGGGUCUUCAAAGCGAAGACAGAUCAAAAUGGCAAGAUAGUCAGACACAAAGCCAGAUUGGUAGCCAGAGGUUUUGCACAGGUACCAGGUCAAGACUAUCACGAGACCUAUUCACCCACAGUGAGAUAUGAAAGCAUUAGGCUUAUGCUUAAGCUAGCUGCAGAGGAAAAUCUACACAUUAGUCACCAUGAUAUUAAUACAGCUUUUCUGUACGGAUCUCUAGAUGAAUCACUUUAUAUGCUUCCACCUGAUGGCGUACAGGUAAAACAGGGAUUUGUUUGUGCUCUGAAGAAAUCCCUUUAUGGUCUCAAACAAAGUGCACGGUGUUGGCACACAAAACUCACUGAAGUAUUGUUUUCUCUAGGUUUUCAGCAAGGGAAAGCUGAUCCAUGUGUAUUUGUCAAAGAGGAGGGGCAAAAGAAACUGUACUGUUUGUUUUAUGUUGAUGAUUUAUUAUUCUUUUGGAAAGAUGUCGCAAUGUACAAUAACGCCCUAGCUCAACUGAAAGAGCACUUUGACAUGAAAGAUCUUGGUGAGGUAAACAACUACCUAUCUCUGGAAAUAGAGAGAGAUCAAGAUGGUAACAUUCUAGUACACCAGUCACGGAAAAUUGCUGAUGUGUUAAGCAAACUAAAUCUGAUGGAUGCUAACCCUGUAGACACACCGAUGACAACAGGUUAUCAGGUAGAUGACACUGAAGAAGCAUUUUCUGACACUACACUGUACAGGAGUGUGCUAGGCAAGCUAAACUUCAUUGCCAGAUGUUCAAGACCAGACAUUGCUGUUAGCUGUAAUUUGCUAAGCAGACAAGUCAACAAUCCUAGUGUCAAGGAUUGGAAAGCUCUGAAACGCAUAGCGCGGUAUUUGAAAGGCACUAUGCAUUACAGACUGAGAUUUAACAAUCAGAAGUCUGGUGGUCUUGAGAUAUUUGCAGAUGCAAGUUUUGGAAGUGACGCUACAGACAGGAAAGGUACGUCUGGAGUUUGCUACAUGUACAAUCAGGGUCUGUUUGAUUGGUCAUGCAAGAAGCAAACAACAGUUAGCUUAAGUACUUGUGAAGCUGAACUGAAUGCACUGUCUUAUUCACUUAAGGAUUGUGAAUGGUUAGUACAAUUGUGCAAAGAUAUGAAAAUUCCUGUCAAAUGUCCAAUCCAGGUUUACCAGGACAACAAAGCAUGUUUGGCUUUGCUGAAGUCUGAAGGUUGUAAGCAAAGCACAAAGCACUUGCAAUUAAAGUUGCAGCAUGCUAGGGAAUGUAUUCAGAAGGGACUCGUAACGGUGUCCUAUAUGCCAGGUAAUGAAAUUCCUGCUGAUGUAUUGUCCAAGAUUGUAUCAAGGGAUCAACACUGUACCUAUGUGCAGAAGUUGGGUUUGUACUGAUACUGUACGAACACGCUGCCCAGUGAUGUUCACAGAAAGGGGGGAGGAUGUUGGUUUCUGCUUUCCUUCACUGUGCAGCUCUACUUGUCACGAGACAGGUGUUUACAUUCCACAGUCUGUACUGUUGGAGUUUCUCACGGGAAAGGGAGACUGGAUGUGACGUACACUGGUUUCCUGUUUUUCACUGUGUGAUUCUCUCCGAGCUGUCGAGGAGAGAGGAUGCAUUUCUCUGCUCCGGCAGAGGCAAGAUGUCUUUCUGUAAUAUACCAGCUUUGAACUGUAAAUAAAGCAAUAUAGAGUAUGUAG